rnacentral:piRNA from 1 species
UCUGGAGGCAUUCUCACACAA